UAAUACAGAGGGUGCGAGCGUUAAUCGGAAUUAUUGGGCGUAAAGGGCGCGUAGGCGGUGAUACAAGUGAGAUGUGAAAGCCCUGGGCUUAACCUAGGAAUGGCAUUUCAGACUGUGUGACUAGAGGUCAGUAGAGGGUAGUGGAAUUUCCGGUGUAGCGGUGAAAUGCGUAGAGAUCGGAAGGAACACCAGUGGCGAAGGCGACUACCUGGACUGAAUCUGACGCUGAGGCGCGAAAGCGUGGGGAGCAAACAGGAUUAGAUACCCUGGUAGUCCACGCUGUAAACGAUGAGAACUAGAUGUUGGUGGGCGCGAGCCCAUGAGUAUCGAAGCUAACGCGAUAAGUUCUCCGCCUGGGGAGUACGACCGCAAGGUUA
rnacentral:rRNA from 1 species